rnacentral:rRNA from 1 species
GAUAGGUGGGAGGCUUUGAAGUGUGGACGCCAGUCUGCAUGGAGCCAACCUUGAAAUACCACCCUUUAACGUUUGAUGUUCUAACCUAGGCCCAUAAACUGGGUCGGGGACCGUGUCUGGUGGGUAGUUUGACUGGGGCGGUCUCCUCCUAAAGAGUAACGGAGGAGCACGAAGGUUAGCUAAUCCUGGUCGGACAUCAGGAGGUUAGUGCAA